rnacentral:rRNA from 1 species
CACGUAGGGGACGAGCGUUGUCCGGAUUCAUUGGGCGUAAAGAGCGUGUAGGCGGCUUUACAGGUCCGUUGUGAAAACUCGAGGCUCAACCUCGAGACGCCGGUGGAAACCGUAAAGCUAGAGUCCGGAAGAGGAGAGUGGAAUUCCUGGUGUAGCGGUGAAAUGCGCAGAUAUCAGGAGGAACACCCGUGGCGAAAGCGGCUCUCUGGGACGGUACUGACGCUGAGACGCGAAAGCGUGGGGAGCAAACAGG